AGCUGAGAGAGAGAGAGCAUGCUAUUGGAGGACUGAGGUGUAAAACACUAUCUGGCAUGAGAAGGAAGGGCCUUUGGACUCUUCCACGCUGCCAGCAGAGAGAGAAUGGAGAAUAAAAGGCAUUUUCUUUACUGUCACUUCUUGUACCUGACCUCACAGAGAUAACUAGAAGUCCACAAGAGCUAUUGCAGGAAAAGACCUGCUCAACCCUUGCAGCGCUGCUGUAAAGAAGUUCAGUCGCUCUGUGGAGAUGGCACACAAACAGUCUAUUUGUCACACAGGAUAACUUACAAGAGGGGAAAUUCUUCUGUUUAUUCAAAGAAUUAAUAUUAGCAUUGGUACCACCAGGAUCUGAUUUUUAUGGUUUUUCCUUCUAAUCUUACUUUUUCAGCUUUCUUCACAACUAGAUAUAAUUUGUAUACUGAUAAAAUUUCUUUGGUCGCUUGCCUCAACUAAAUAACAAUUCCCCAGUGCAAUUCCUCAGUGUGAGUGUAAUGGGACCUUUUAUACCUAUAAAGUUACUUAUGUUUUUAAGUGCUAUCAGGAUCAGGGCUCAAGUGCCUGAGUGUCUACAUACCAUAUUUUGUUCAAAACACUAUUCAGAUUUGUUUGUCUCAGGCUAGCAAGAAAAUAUAUCUGUGUAUGUGAAACCCAAUCAAUGAUGGGUGAAGGCUUGUAGAGCUUUUCUAUGUAAUAUAAACUCAAAGCUCACCAGGUUACAGUUAUUCCAAAGAUCAAUAACUUUAAUGUAUUUACUUCAUGUAAAUAUGAAUCCACAGUUAUUCUCAACCAUAACACUAUAGUUUUGACUGUGCCAUGACAUAAUUUCCAAUGGCCUUGAUAAUUCAGAGAUACAGUGAUUUAAAACCCAGAUUUGAGUAAUCUUAAUUCUAAAUCAGCAGGAGAGUGGAGAUUAUUUUAAACAGACAAGCUUUUGACUCACUUCCCCCAGGUGCUUAGUGGAGUUGCUGAGACCUAAUAG